CCUCUUAGCGAGGAAGCCGGUGGCGCGGGGACACCGGGCCGUUCCCGCGUGCCUCUCUCCACGCACAAAGCCGACAUCCAACUUUGGUAACUUAGUCGGCUCCCGCCCAGCCGGCCCCCGCAGCACCGUCACGUUGAAAACACGUUGAUACCAGAAACCCAAUUUCCAAGGCGGUGCCAGGGUUCGAAAGCACAAAGGCGGACACACUGUCGACCCGCGCGCUAGCUAGCAAGUUGCGAUACUCCGGGGCGGCGGCGCGGAGCCCGCGUCCAGGGGUUUCAAGAGGACAGUGGAUGGUAUGUGGAUGAUGGCAAUGACUGGAUUGUGAACCACAUAUGGAAAAGCCAUAAUCCAUGGCUUUGAUGUCAAGAAGCCACAGCCCGCCAAUCCAAUGAUGUCGGCAUGAUGGAAAAAAAAGGAUGAGAGAAGAAGAACCUGGAACAAGGGAGAAGGGAAGAAGAAGGAUGGAGAUCAGGAACAUGGCCAACCUGGGUUCUCACUUGUAACUAGGGAGUAAAGGCUUGCCUUCAGAAGCUUGCAUGUCAUAUUUAACUGGUGCCUUCCUAUAACAUCUUGACUUAAUAAAAAGGCUAGCAAAAGGAAAAGAAGAAAAAUGAAAAAAAUCCGCAGCAGGACAAUAAAAAGUUUCCUCUUCACACCCACCGCCGUGGGGGUUUUUCCUUUGUGCCUCAUGGCUUAUCCCACUGAAACGCAUCAAUUUUUGCUUUUAUGCUGGAAAUGCCCGAAAAACAUUUGAAGCUUCCCAGCCACCCCUUGGGGGUGAGAACGUUUCACAAUGUGUCUCCAGGGAAGGCUAGGGGGCCAGGGUCGGGUAGAGAGGAGGCUUUCUCCCCUUCACAGGGGAACAAAGGACAGAACCUCAGAGUUCUUGACCCAAUGUGUGACCUCGGGCCCAAGGCAAAACAUUUUAUCUCUGGGUCCUAGUGACAUAAGCUCUCUGGGCUCUGUGAUUGUGCUCUAGGAUGUGACCAAAAACCUUUGAUGGAAUUACUGCCUCCUCUAUCUCUCUGCCCGGCCAUUUAUUAUUCUGUAUAUUUUCGAGAGCUGUGGGAAACUUUCAUAACCAAAGCCUAAGCCAGGCAAAAACUUGUUCUAUUUGGAAUUUGUAAUGAAGUCAAAACAUGGCCUGGAUUUUCUGAAAGGCUCCUUUGGCUGCCUGCGACAGCCCCAGGGCACAAUCAGACAGGGAUGGAGCAGGCCUGGGAGCAGAUUUCGUUACCAAGAAUAGGACACAACAAUAUUUGCCUCCAAAACACCACGGCUGCUAUUUACCUUCUCAGCUGGAAGAAGUGAGAGAUAAAUGCAGAUUUCACAUAAAGUGCAAAUACCAAUUCUUUCAUUUCUGAUUUGGGGGAUUUUUUCCCCACUCUGAGCUCCCUCUAAACAAAAGGUUAGGGACAGUUUUUAGCAUAUUUGAUUUCCUGACCUAAGGGAAGAAAUUCUUUAUUUCAGAACUUUUGACCCCCAAAGAGCUCUUACUUUUGCUUGAAAGCCUGAAUAAAAAUGGUUAGACGUGUAAAGCGAUUGUGGGUUUUGCGAGUGCUUUCUUUUGUGCAGUAUGCCUGUUGGGGUGUUGGUCUGCAGGGAAAUACUAUGAGAAAAACAAGUUUUCUCCUGGUUUGGAUGGAAAACUUUGCCUACUUUUCAGAAGCUCUCGCAAAUUAUUUACUGGCUCAAACCUGAUUUCUCCAGAGGAGACUCGGUCCCUCACAAAAGUGCUAAGUGGUAAGAUGUAGUUCCUAAUUUUUAUUUAAGUCAAAGGUUAAUAGUAUGAGGGGGUUUGGUCCUUCACUGUUUCAAGUUAAUAUUUAUUUUUUCACCGUCGUUUAAAGACUUUCCUACGGCCCUUAUUUCACUGCUGAAAGCAGAGUAUGAGAACUCAGAUUUCAUGCCCCCAGGCUUGAAUAAAGGAAUAAAAACAGCACAACAUUUGCAUCUAUUUAACAAUCUCAGUUCUAAGAGCCCCCUCACAGGGAGAGGAGGGAAAAACCGUAUCUCUAGGUGAAAUGAGGCUCUUCAGAGAUCUUUGCCGAAAACACAAUUCAGAGAAAGAUAAUCAUUGUCAGAAAUGACCUAGGAAUUCAAGGCCUUAUGAUUGAAAACACAAAGCUAAGAAAGGUGCAUUCUCCUGCCUCCCUGCCUGCCUGGAUAUCAGUGAACAUCAGCUAAAGGUGGCUGAAGAACCAAUUUCAUGCAUCUACUGUACGAGGAAAUGAACUGAGCCAAGGGCAAAAAUAAAAUUAUACAAAUGUUAUUAUAGACUAGCCUGCUUCUGUCCUAGUUUAAUUCAAAUUUUAGUGCUGCAGGCUUGGCUUCGGGCAGUAGCCUUCCUGAAUAAAUCAACAUUUGCUUACAUCUAAAUUAUUAGGGGAGCAUGUGACUUUGUUUAUUGUAUAAAUUAUACGCAAGGUUAAAGCAUUAACUGUUCAACUCAUUUUGUUCAGUCACCUCACCAAUUCUCCCCCCUACCCCCCCAGUCAGCUGUCCCCCAAAUAGGAAAGAAAAAUCUGAAAUUCCUAAGUUUUUUUCAAACGAACCCAAUAACAGAGCUGCAAAGCCUUGUGAACCUGAGGUUGUGGGCAGGGGCCUGAAGGUAAGAUGGAAGACAGUCUCUUUUGUUUUUUUUUUUACUUUUUAUUUUGUAUUGGAGUAUAACCAGUUAGCAAUGUUGUGAUAGUUUCAGGUGGACAGUGAAGGGACUCAGCCAUACGUACACAUGUAUCCAU